AGUCUUAAUUGGGCGUUAAGUUGCAGGGUAUAGACCCGAAACCCGGUGAUCUAGCCAUGGGCAGGUUGAAGGUUGGGUAACACUAACUGGAGGACCGAACCGACUAAUGUUGAAAAAUUAGCGGAUGACCUGUGGCUGGGGGUGAAAGGCCAAUCAAACCGGGAGAUAGCUGGUUCUCCCCGAAAGCUAUUUAGGUAGCGCCUCGUGAAUUCAUCUCCGGGGGUAGAGCACUGUUUCGGCUAGGGGGCCAUCCCGGCUUACCAACCCGAUGCAAACUGCGAAUACCGGAGAAUGUUAUCACGGGAGACACACGGCGGGUGCUAACGUCCGUCGUGAAGAGGGAAACAACCCAGACCGCCAGCUAAGGUCCCAAAGUCAUGGUUAAGUGGGAAACGAUGUGGGAAGGCCCAGACAGCCAGGAUGUUGGCUUAGAAGCAGCCAUCAUUUAAAGAAAGCGUAAUAGCUCACUGGUCGAGUCGGCCUGCGCGGAAGAUGUAACGGGGCUAAACCAUGCACCGAAGCUGCGGCAGCGACGCUUAUGCGUUGUUGGGUAGGGGAGCG
rnacentral:rRNA from 2 species